rnacentral:lncRNA from 1 species
UGGACGUCCCUUUCUAUCGUUCAUGUUUUGUUCACCUCAUCUGCUAGUACAUUUGGCGUUGCGCCACAUUUUCAGGUCUGUACAUGUGGGGAACUGCCCCAAACGGUUAAAUGCACAAUGUAUAUAGCUAAAUUCCCAUCCAUGGUACAGCCUUGCUAUAGUCCGCCAUUUGCUCCAGUGCGCUGCCGAUGCCGCCUUUUGAACUUGCAUCGCUUCAUCUCACCACAAACUUCGCGACACUCCUAUCCUAUCUAACUCUGUCCCACACAUCUACGUCUCUUCAUAUGAAGUGGCCUUUACAUGGCUCCUUGCGCCGUGCUUCUAACUCCCACCAUCCCACCGUACCCACGCCUGCAGUCCGCAACCAAACAACUCAGGCACGCACCCCCGGCCACAACGGUCACACAACACCACUCCCCCUCCCGCCUCCCUCACAACCUGCCCAACGCCGGCCAUGUCAUGAGCGCUGGGUAAUGGAGCGGCUUCCAGGCGCCCCACCAGCGCUGCGGCCGGCCGACAUCCCUGGCGCAAUUAUAGCCGCCGCAGCCUGCGCCUGCUGCAGCUCCUCUGCCACCGAC